rnacentral:rRNA from 1 species
GAACGAACCUUGUAGGACUUGAACCUGCGUCUUCGGACAAAGGGGAUAGCCCUACGCCGGUUAGUGGCGGACGGGUGAGUAACGCGUGAGUAACCUGCCUUUUGGAGGGGGACAACAGCUGGAAACGGCUGCUAAUACCGCAUAAUGUAAUUGCAUUGCAUGGUGUGAUUAUCAAAGAUUUAUCGCCAAAAGAUGGACUCGCGUCUGAUUAGAUAGUCGGUGGGGUAACGGCCUACCAAGUCGACGAUCAGUAGCCGAGCUGAUAGGCUCAACGGCCACAUUGGGACUGAGACACGGCCCAUACUCCUACGGGAGGCAGCAGUGGGGGAUAUUGCGCAAUGGGGGAAACCCUGACGCAGCAACGCCGCGUGAAGGAUGAAGGUUUUCGGAUCGUAAACUUCUUUAAUUGGGGAACAAACAAAUGAGGGUACCCAAAGAAUAAGCCACGGCUAACUACGUGCCAGCAGCCGCGGUAAU